GGAGAGAUGGCCGAGUGGCCGAAAGCACCUGUUUGCUAAACAGGAGUACUCGCAAGGGUACCACAGGUUCGAAUCCUGUUCUCUCCG
rnacentral:tRNA from 1 species